UUGACCGACAGGACGCACGUCGUGGAGGCUGUGACAGUACAAACAUAUCACGUUUCAAGAGCCCUAUCGCGUUUUCUACGUGUUUAAAUCGCUCAUAAAACAUUAGAAAGACAAACUCGGAUCUGUUUUGAGUUUGUCACGACACACCGGGGUAAAAGCUGUUGAAACAAGGCGUCAACUUCUGCAUAGUUACAACUUUUACUAUCGCUAUUCUUGCGCGUAAAAUGCAAACAACUACACAGAAACGCUCGCAUUCACCGUAAAUAAGGGAUGAAGGAUACGAAAAUGAGCCCGUAAAAUGGUGUUAAAGAGACAUUAAAAUAAGGAAAAGCCCGUUUUAGGAGCGGAGUUUACCUACCCACCCGCAUCUUCUCGGUCGUGCUGUAUUUCUGUCGGAGGAGGAGCGCAGAGCAUGCUGGGAAGCGUCACGGAUCGGGUAGGAGGAGGAGGAGACACGCGGCGCGGAUAGCAACAGAUCUGUAUGGCUCGUGAAGACAUGUUCUGUAUUUACACAGAAAUAUCCUUGUCUUCUUGGAGUGAGUCUGAGCUGCCUCUUGUUUACACUUCAUCCUGUGUUUGUGGCAUCUGACCUUACACUGUCCAGAGAAACUGCUUUCAACUUAUAAACCUCAACCCAACAAGGUCAAAGGACGACUCCAGAGACCUGAGGCCCAGAGAGAGGAAGAGCUGCGUGUGGAGAAUACAGAAAUGUGUGUGGAGAC